rnacentral:rRNA from 1 species
GUGGGGAAUCUUGCGCAAUGGGCGAAAGCCUGACGCAGCCAUGCCGCGUGAAUGAUGAAGGUCUUAGGAUUGUAAAAUUCUUUCACCGGGGACGAUAAUGACGGUACCCGGAGAAGAAGCUCCGGCUAACUUCGUGCCAGCAGCCGCGGUAAUACGAAGGGGGCUAGCGUUGCUCGGAAUUACUGGGCGUAAAGGGCGCGUAGGCGGACAGCUUAGUCAGAGGUGAAAGCCCAGGGCUCAACCUUGGACUUGCCUUUGAUACUGGCUGUCUUGAGUGUGGGAGAGGUGAGUGGAAGUCCGAGUGUAGAGGUGAAAUUCGUAGAUAUUCGGAAGAACACCAGUGGCGAAGGCGACUCACUGGCCCAAUACUGACGCUGAGGCGCGAAAGCGUGGGGAGCAAACAGGAUUAGAUACCCUGGUAGUCC